rnacentral:rRNA from 1 species
GACGAACCGUACGAACGUUAUUCGGAAUCACUGGGCUUAAAGGGUGCGUAGGCUGCGCAGCAAGUUGGGUGUGAAAUCCCUCGGCUUUACCGAGGAACUGCGCCCAAAACUGCUGUGCUCGAGGGAGAUAGAGGUGAGCGGAACUUAGGGUGGAGCGGUGAAAUGCGUUGAUAUCCUAAGGAACACCGGUGGCGAAAGCGGCUCACUGGAUCUCUUCUGACGCUGAGGCACGAAAGCUAGGGUAGCGAACGGG